rnacentral:lncRNA from 1 species
UGGUUUUAUCAGUGUAUGUGUGUGGUGUAUCACAACAAACAAAAAGCCUAAACAUAUUUUCUAGAUGUAUGAGUACAUUACUGACCUUUCCAUGCCUCAGACUUUUCAUCUAGAAAGGGGCUUCUAAAAAGCACAUAACUCAAAGGAUCAUUAAGCAAAGCACAUACAGUGGUAUGUCAGUAAUUGUUAUCUAGGUCGUUGAUAUCUCCUUAAUAUUUUUAGGAAAGCAUUGGCUAUUUAUAUUGUCUAUUGAAUUGUCCACUUGGAUUAAUUAAAUAUUUUUAUUUCAAAAGGUGGAAACCCAACUCUCAUGAUCUCCAUCCCAAACCUCCUGGAAAACGGGAUCAGUAGCAUCUUUAAUUUUUCUGGAUGUGCUACUGCAUAGGUUAACUUUGUGCUGAAAGCUUUCAAUUCAUCUUUCUAUGAAAGUACUGGCACAGAUUCUUCGGAGCCCAUCAGAGGAAUGUUAUCACUAACGAGAAAGGGAGUUACUUCAAACACAACGAGGAAAUUUCCUAUAUACAUACAAACAAUGGAAGCAAUGACAUAAAAUCCAUCCUAAAUCAGAUCCAUAUUCGUGAAUUUGGAUUUGAAGCCAAGCUGGCACAGUAG